ACGGUGCGGUUUCAGCCUUUGCCCGGCGUGCUCGGGAGUGUGGGGAAAGCGCUCCGUGUGAGCAGCUCCUGUCAAUGGUUGAUUGUUCAGGAUGCAGCUCUGCAGCUGGGGGGUUUGCAGGGCCUUGGCUCAUCCUCCCUUUCCUCCUGGGCACUGUGCUUUAGCGGUUUCAUUGCUUAUUAGCGCUUCCACCAGAGGGUGGCGAGGAUGGAAAAUGCCUGUCACCCUGUGAGGAGCUUUCAUAAGAGAUGUGCCGAGGGGAGAAACUGAAACCAUUGGCUGAAAUCAGAUUCCUGGUGCCAUUUGCUGAUACUGACCCCAUCUUGCAGAAGAGCUGGAUCCCAGAAUAAAAUUUUAAAACGUCAAAGAAGGGCUGUGUUCCAAAACUUUGGGACAGGAUCACCGCAGAGAGAGUUGAUUGCAUGUGCACAAGGGAGAGAAGACAAGUGGACGUUUUCUACAGAAUGCGCCGUGCACUGUGGAUAUGGAGGUCUUGGAAAAAUGGAGCUGCCUUUCGUUAAGUUCUUGUGUUGAUGAAGAUAGUC